rnacentral:rRNA from 1 species
UACAGAGGGUGCGAGCGUUAUUCGGAAUUACUGGGCGUAAAGCGCGCGUAGGCGGCUUUGCAAGUCGGGUGUGAAAUCCCCAGGCUUAACCUGGGAACUGCAUUCGAGACUGCAUUGCUAGAGUGUGGGAGAGGGAUGCGGAAUUCCAGGUGUAGCGGUGAAAUGCGUAGAUAUCUGGAGGAACACCGGUGGCGAAGGCGGCAUCCUGGACCGACAUUGACGCUGAGGAGCGAAAGCUAGGGGAGCAAACGGG